CUCCGGUUGAUCCCGCCGGACCCGACUGCUAUCGGAUUGAGAUUUAGCCAUGCGAGUCGAACGUUCCCCUGUUGCGGGGAGCGUGGCGUACGGCUCAGUAACACGUAGUCAACCUGCCCUGGAGACAAGGACAACCCCGGGAAACUGGGAUUAAUCCUUGAUAGGUCAUCUCAUCUGGAAGGAGAGAUGGCUUAAAGGGGUACGAGGGCUUCUUCCACGUAUUCGCUCCAGGAUGGGACUGCGACCGAUCAGGCUGUUGGCGGGGUAAUGGCCCACCAAACCUGUAACCGGUACGGGCCUUGAGAGAGGUGGCCCGGAGAUGGACACUGAGAGAAGGGUCCAGGUCCUAUGGGGCGCAGCAGGCGAGAAACCUUCGCAAUGUGCGAAAGCACGACUGGGUCAGUCCGAGUGAUUCCUGAUAAAGGAGUCUUUUGCUUGUCCUAAAAGCACAGGUGAAUAAGGGGUGGGCAAGUCUGGUGUCAGCCGCCGCGGUAAUACCAGCACCUCGAGUGGUCAGGACGUUUAUUGGGCCUAAAGCAUCCGUAGCCGGCUUUGCAAGUCUUCGGUUAAAUCCACCUGCUCAACAGAUGGGCCGCUGGAGAUACUACAAAGCUAGGGAGUGGGAGAGGCAGACGGUAUUCAGUGGGUAGGGGUAAAAUCCUCUGAUCCAUUGAGGACCACCAGUGGCGAAGGCGGUCUGCCAGAACACGUUCGACGGUGAGGGAUGAAAGCUGGGGGAGCAAACCGGAUUAGAUACCCGGGUAGUCCCAGCUGUAAACGAUGCAAACUCGGUGAUGCAUUGGCUUAUGGCCAAUGCAGUGCCGCAGGGAAGCCGUUAAGUUUGCCGCCUGGGAAGUACGGACGCAAGUCUGAAACUUAAAGAAUUGGCGGGGGACACA
rnacentral:rRNA from 1 species